rnacentral:rRNA from 1 species
UACGUAGGUGGCAAGCGUUGUCCGGAUUUAUUGGGUUUAAAGGGUGCGUAGGCGGCUUUGUAAGUCAGUGGUGAAAUAUGGCAGCUCAACUGUCAAGGUGCCAUUGAUACUGCGGAGCUUGAGUACAGAUGAGGUAGGCGGAAUUGACGGUGUAGCGGUGAAAUGCAUAGAUAUCGUCAAGAACACCUAUAGCGAAGGCAGCUUACUAGGCUGUAACUGACGCUGAGGCACGAAAGUGUGGGGAUCAAACAGG